rnacentral:rRNA from 1 species
AAACUUAAAUGAAUUGACGGGGACCCGCACAAGCAGCGGAGCGUGUGGUUUAAUUCGUUGCUACACGAAGAACCUUACCUGGGUUUGACAUAUAGGUUGUAGGGAACUGAAAGGGACCGACCCUUCGGGGAGCCUAUACAGGUGUUGCAUGGCUGUCGUCAGCUCGUGUCGUGAGAUGUUCGGUUAAGUCCGCUAACGAGCGCAACCCUCGUCGUAUGUUAUAUGUGUCAUACGAGACUGCCGGUAAAAGCCGGAGGAAGGUGAGGAUGAUGUCAAGUCAGCAUGACCUUUAUAUCCAGGGCUACACACACGCUACAAUGGUCUGUACAAUGGGUAGCCAAGCCGCGAGGCGGAGCCAAUCCUGAAAGCAGGCCUCAGUUCAGAUUGCAGUCUGCAACUCGACUGCAUGAAGCCGGAGUUGCUAGUAACCGCAGGUCAGCAAUACUGCGGUGAAUACGUUCCCGGGUCUU